AGAUCUUGGUGGUAGUAGCAAAUAUUCAAAUGAGAACUUUGAAGGCCGAAGUGGAGAAAGGUUCCAUGUGAACAGCAAUUGGACAUGGGUUAGUCGGUCCUAAGAGAUAGGGAAAUUCUGUAUCAAGGGGGCAAUUCAUUGCCCUGCCUAUCGAAAGGGAACCGGGUUAAUAUUCCCGGACCAGCGUGUGGAUAAUGCAUGGCGACAUAAGUGAACUUCACGACGGCGGCGGGAGCCCUGGGAAGAGUUGUCUUUUCUUCUUAACAAGAAGCCCACCGUGGAAUCGGGUUAACCGGAGAUACGGUAGGAAGCUUGGCAAAGCACCUUACGUCUUGAGGUGUCCGGUGCGCUCUCGACGCCCCUUGAAAAGUGAAGGGAAGCGUUCAUUCUCAUACCUGGCCGUACUCAUAACCGCAUCAGGUCU
rnacentral:rRNA from 1 species